AGGUGCUACAUGCCACUGCGUGACCUUUAACCAGAAGUUCACUGCCUUGAGGUAGAGAGGAGGUCGGCUACCCAAGAAACAGAAGAAUUAAUGACCCAGUUGAAUGAUUCUGUUCCUGUAACGCUAUGCCAGAGCCAUGAAACCUGGAUUUCGUUUUCAGUUCUGUCCCUGGGCCUGCUGUGUAACCUCAGUUGUGGCGAUCACUUUCAAGACACCAAAAGUAGCCCAAAAAAGCAGCCCCAAAACAAAUGGU